UGGACAAAUGAAUGAGACAGUCAUAAUUCAACUGGAAGAUUGCCCUGACACCAAUGUAAUUGACAUUGUCCAUCUGCUUCAAAGAUCAAAUACACUUUCUGAUGAUGAGCGUGCAAAAGUGAAUGACCUGGCUGUCAUUUGGGAUCUGCCUCGGGUCACUGUGGAAAACAGACUGUGGCUAGCCCAAAGCCUUCUUCACCAUGCGGUCAUUGGCCGGCGGGAGAAACAGAUGCAGCAGUUGAAAAAAAGACUGUAGGAUACUGGAGUUUUGCGCAUGGUUAAAGAACGACCUUCUCUUAUUGAAGUCCUAUUUCCACGAUCAUCUUCCCUGACAAUUGAUGCACAGAUGAUCCUGGAAAAAGUAAUAUGGCCAAACCCUGACAGUGAUGAUGAGGAGAACUUCAAUCUGGAAACAUGCUGCAGAAUCACAUCCUAUUUACGGCAAUACGUUGAACAAGGUACACCACAAGAGCUGAAAAAUCUUGUUGAGUUUUGGGUUGGAUGGACAAGCCUACCACAGGAACUGUACGUGGAAGUGUCUCCUGACGUCAGAAUGCCAACUGCCUCAACAUGCAGGGAGACCCUUAAAAUCCCACUGCAUUACAGUGAUUAUGAAGAAUUCUGCGCUGAUCUAAAUGCAGCUGUGUCCAGCAACAGCUUUGUUUUGGUUUAGUCUAAAAUGAAUAUUUCGUAAACCCUCAUGUUGUCUUAGGGUUCUGUUUGGAAUUUUGAGACUUUUGUUACAUUAUUUGUCUAAACGCAUAAUAAACCUGGGUUUGAUUUAA